rnacentral:rRNA from 1 species
GGGUUGUGAGGUUAAGCGACUAAGCGUACACGGUGGAUGCCCUGGCAGUCAGAGGCGAUGAAGGACGUGCUAAUCUGCGAUAAGCGUCGGUAAGGUGAUAUGAACCGUUAUAACCGGCGAUUUCCGAAUGGGGAAACCCAGUGUGAUUCGUCACACUAUCAUUAACUGAAUCCAUAGGUUAAUGAGGCGAACCGGGGGAACUGAAACAUCUAAGUACCCCGAGGAAAAGAAAUCAACCGAGAUUCCCCCAGUAGCGGCGAGCGAACGGGGAGCAGCCCAGAGCCUGAAUCAGUGUGUGUGUUAGUGGAAGCGUCUGGAAAGGCGUGCGAUACAGGGUGACAGCCCCGUACACAAAAAUGCACAUAUUGUGAGCUCGAUGAGUAGGGCGGGACACGUGGUAUCCUGUCUGAAUAUGGGGGGACCAUCCUCCAAGGCUAAAUACUCCUGACUGACCGAUAGUGAACCAGUACCGUGAGGGAAAGGCGAAAAGAACCCCGGCGAGGGGAGUGAAAAAGAACCUGAAACCGUGUACGUACAAGCAGUGGGAGCACGCUUAGGCGUGUGACUGCGUACCUUUUGUAUAAUGGGUCAGCGACUUAUAUUCUGUAGCAAGGUUAACCGAAUAGGGGAGCCGAAGGGAAACCGAGUCUUAACUGGGCGUUAAGUUGCAGGGUAUAGACCCGAAACCCGGUGAUCUAGCCAUGGGCAGGUUGAAGGUUGGGUAACACUAACUGGAGGACCGAACCGACUAAUGUUGAAAAAUUAGCGGAUGACUUGUGGCUGGGGG